rnacentral:rRNA from 1 species
GACGAACGCUGGCGGCGUGCUUAACACAUGCAAGUCGAACGGAAAGGCCCUGCUUUUGUGGGGUGCUCGAGUGGCGAACGGGUGAGUAACACGUGAGUAACCUGCCCUUGACUUUGGGAUAACUUCAGGAAACUGGGGCUAAUACCGUAUAGGAGCUCCUGCUGCAUGGUGGGGGUUGGAAAGUUUCGGCGGUUGGGGAUGGACUCGCGGCUUAUCAGCUUGUUAGUGGGGUAGUGGCUUACCAAGGCUUUGACGGGUAGCCGGCCUGAGAGGGUGACCGGCCACAUUGGGCCUGAGAUACGGCCCAGACGCCUACGGGAGGCAGCAGUGGGGAAUAUUGCACAAUGGGCGGAAGCCUGAUGCAGCAACGCCGCGUGCGGGAUGACGGCCUUCGGGUUGUAAACCGCUUUCGCCUGUGACGAAGCGUGAGUGACGGUAAUGGGUAAAGAAGCACCGGCUAACUACGUG